rnacentral:rRNA from 1 species
CCCUUAGAUGUCCUGGGCCGCACGCGCGCUACACUGAGUGUCUGAGAUACGAGUCUGCCUGGUCCGGCAAGGUCUAGGUAAUCGCUAAAAGACACAUCAUGCUUGGGAUAGAUUAUUGCAAAUAUUAAUCUUGAACGAGGAAUUCCUAGUAAGCGCAAGUCAACAGCCUGCGUUUAUUACGUCCCUGCCCUUUGUACACACCGCCCGUCGCUACUACUGAUUGGAUGUUUAAGCGAGGUUCUCGAACUGCUAGCGACUUAGCUUCGGUGAGGUCGCAGUGUGGGAAGUGAACCUAGCUUUGGUGUCUAGAGGAAGUAAAAGUCGUAACA